rnacentral:rRNA from 1 species
GAGGAACGCUGGCGGCGUGCCUAAUACAUGCAAGUCGAGCGAAUGGAUUAAGAGCUUGCUCUUAUGAAGUUAGCAGCGGACGGGUGAGUAACACGUGGGUAACCUGCCCAUAAGACUGGGAUAACUCCGGGAAACCGGGGCUAAUACCGGAUAACAUUUUGAACCGCAUGGUUCGAAAUUGAAAGGCGGCUUCGGCUGCCACUUAUGGAUGGACCCGCGUCGCAUUAGCUAGUUGGUGAGGUAACGGCUCACCAAGGCAACGAUGCGUAGCCGACCUGAGAGGGUGAUCGGCCACACUGGGACUGGGACACGGCCCAGACUCCUACGGGAGGUAGCAGUAGGGAAUCUUCCGCAAUGGACGAAAGUCUGACGGAGCAACGCCGCGUGAGUGAUGAAGGCUUUCGGGUCGUAAAACUCUGUUGUUAAGGAAGAACAAGUGCUAGUUGAAUAAGCUGGCACCUUGACGGUACCUAACCAGAAAGCCACGGCUAACUACGUGCCAGCCGCCGCAGUAA